GAUUAAGCCAUGCAUGUCUAAGUUCACACCCCUGGUACGGUGAAACCGCGAAUGGCUCAUUAAAUCAGUCGAGGUUCCUUAGAUGAUCCAUUUCUACUUGGAUAACUGUGGCAAUUCUAGAGCUAAUACAUGCGGCCCAGCUCCGCCCCGGUGUCGCAGCCGGGAAAGAGCGCUUUUAUUAGUUCAAAACCAGUCGGGCGCUUCGCCGGCCCCUUCCUUAGCCGCAGCCCCUCGCUCGUCGUCCGCCGGGUCUCGCGACCUUGGCGGCGGCGGCGGUGGCGGCGGCGGUGGCGGGGAGGUGCGCCGGCCGUCCGUCCCCCUCGUUGGUGACUCUGGAUAACUUUCGUGCCGAUCGCAUGGCCUCGAGCCGGCGACGCAUCUUUCAAAUGUCUGCCCUAUCAAAUGUCGAUGGUACGCGAUAGGCCUACCAUGUUGACUACGGGUAACGGGGAAUCGGGGUUCGAUUCCGGAGAGGGAGCAUGAGAAACGGCUACCACAUCCAAGGAAGGCAGCAGGCGCGCAACUUACCCACUCCCGGCACGGGGAGGUAGUGACGAAAACUAACAAUACGGAACUCUUUCCAGGCUCCGUAAUUGGAAUGAGUACACUUUAAACCCUUUA
rnacentral:rRNA from 1 species